ACUGUCUGAAAAUAAUCCUUGGCUUUCUUUGUGGCCUUGGAUGAGGUAACUGUGCCCAUAGCAAAAAGGAACUUUAAGCUUAUUGCCUUAAGCAUAGUCUUUGGGCAAUAAAACCCAGGCUCCUACAUCU
ensembl:snoRNA